rnacentral:misc_RNA from 1 species
GAUGAAGAACGCAGCGAAAUGCGAUACGUAAUGUGAAUUGCAGAAUUCAGUGAAUCAUCGAGUCUUUGAACGCACAUUGCGCCCCCUGGUAUUCCGGGGGGCAUGCCUGUCCGAGCGUCAUUGCUGCCCUCAAGCACGGCUUGUGUGUUGGGCCUCCGUCCUCCUCCCGGGGGACGGGCCCGAAAGGCAGCGGCGGCACCGCGUCCGGUCCUCGAGCGUAUGGGCUUCGUCACCCGCUCUUGUAGGCCCGGCCGGCGCUUGCCGACACAUCAAUCUUUUUUCCAGGUUGACCUCGGAUCAGGUAGGGAUACCCGCUGAACUUAAGCAUAUCAAUAAGCGGAGGA